rnacentral:rRNA from 1 species
UACGGAGGGGGCGAGCGUUAUUCGGAAUUAUUGGGCGUAAAGGGCGCGUAGGCGGCUUGACAAGUCAAAGGUGAAAUCCCUCGGCUCAACUGAGGAACUGCCUUUGAAACUGUCUGGCUUGAGGCCGGGAGGGGGUAGCGGAAUUCCCAGUGUAGCGGUGAAAUGCGUAGAUACUGGGAGGAACACCAGUGGCGAAGGCGGCUACCUGGACCGGUUCUGACGCUGAGGCGCGAAAGCGUGGGUAGCAAACAGG